UAGAGUUUGAUCCUGGCUCAGAUUGAACGCUGGCGGCAUGCCUUACACAUGCAAGUCGAACGGCAGCACGGGCUUCGGCCUGGUGGCGAGUGGCGAACGGGUGAGUAAUACAUCGGAACGUGCCCUGUAGUGGGGGAUAACUAGUCGAAAGAUUAGCUAAUACCGCAUACGACCUGAGGGUGAAAGCGGGGGACCGCAAGGCCUCGCGCUACAGGAGCGGCCGAUGUCUGAUUAGCUAGUUGGUGGGGUAAAAGCCUACCAAGGCGACGAUCAGUAGCUGGUCUGAGAGGACGAUCAGCCACACUGGGACUGAGACACGGCCCAGACUCCUACGGGAGGCAGCAGUGGGGAAUUUUGGACAAUGGGGGCAACCCUGAUCCAGCAAUGCCGCGUGUGUGAAGAAGGCCUUCGGGUUGUAAAGCACUUUUGUCCGGAAAGAAAUGGCUCUGGUUAAUACCCGGGGUCGAUGACGGUACCGGAAGAAUAAGCACCGGCUAACUACGUGCCAGCAGCCGCGGUAAUACGUAGGGUGCGAGCGUUAAUCGGAAUUACUGGGCGUAAAGCGUGCGCAGGCGGUUUUGUAAGACAGGCGUGAAAUCCCCGAGCUCAACUUGGGAAUGGCGCUUGUGACUGCAAGGCUAGAGUAUGUCAGAGGGGGGUAGAAUUCCACGUGUAGCAGUGAAAUGCG
rnacentral:rRNA from 1 species